UACGUAGGGUGCAAGCGUUAAUCGGAAUUACUGGGCGUAAAGCGUGCGCAGGCGGUUUUGUAAGUCUGUCGUGAAAGCCCCGGGCUCAACCUGGGAAUUGCGAUGGAGACUGCAAGGCUUGAAUCUGGCAGAGGGGGGUAGAAUUCCACGUGUAGCAGUGAAAUGCGUAGAGAUGUGGAGGAACACCGAUGGCGAAAGCGGCCCCCUGGCCCCGGUCCUGACGCUGAG
rnacentral:rRNA from 1 species